CGUGGAGGAUCCAACCUAUCAUGGACUGUUUGUCCCACUCCCACCACGGAGGAGGCUAUGUAGCAUCCAUGCCAGGACCACCGGACUCAAAAGCAGUCUCUUGCUGCAAGCAGCAAGGAGGAUAAACACCUCCUCCAGGAGAGGGAACCGGAACAGCUGGAGGAAGCACACAUGAUCAUGAGGAUCAUACAACCUUCUCCCAGACAGCGGUGGGAAUUGAACACCAAUCGCGAUCGCUGGCACUGUAGAGCAUUACGUUCACUACUACACUACCACGCUGCCUCUAUAUCUACCCAUUGUACUACAUCUGCGUCUCUGGUUCCUGUGCCAGCAACUUCUGGGCUCCAGCUUUCAAGUUCAAGCUUACCAAUUUGACCUCUGCUUAGAGAGUUCAAAUUCCAAGACAGCUCUGUCAGAUCCGCAGAAAGAAAUUUUAAACAUUCAUGUAGAAGGUUGCUCCAUAACUUGAAGAGUGCUUGCUCAGAAUGUCUCACGUUAGCCUUCUUUUGGUCGUAGCUUUUCACGUCAGUCAUAUUGUUAGGGUGUCACCUUCGAGUAUCCAAAAGUCUUAUUAGUUCUGUUCAUUUAUACAUGCAGACCUCACGGGGCAGAGGUCACUAUGAUAGUUCUUUUUGGGGAAUUAUGGGUGGAACAAGAUGGCGAUGAUGUGGCCAUGGUAGCAAUGCUGGGUGAGUACACGUCAUGAGUUCAUUUUGGUGUUUGCUCUUUGAUGGGCAUGUCCUUACUAUGAACACUGGCAGCUCUUCUGUCCAAGAUGGGAGCUUUCUCUCUCAUUCUUCUGUCCUGCUCUAAAAACCAGAGCAGAUGGUGGACACCCAUGCGAGAGACUCACAGAGAGACUGUGCAGUCUUCAGAGCCGGAUUGAAUCCAGAUUAUUGGCACUGUGAGGCAGUAGUUUCACAAACUGUGCCACCCGAAUCAGACAACAUGUUAGCCUUUUCCGCAAGAGAAUUUGAGCCCUAGAACAAAGACAUCUUAGCUAAUUAGAGAACACAAAAUACUCUGCAGAUGCUGGGGUCAAAGCAACAUGCACAACAUACUGGAGGAACUCAGCAGGUCGGGCAGCAUCUGUGGAAACAAACAGUUAACGUUUCGGGCCAAGUCCUGACGAAAGGUCUCGGCCCGAAAUGUUGACUGUUCGUUUCUGUGGAUGCUGCCCGACCGGCUUAGCUAAUUGGAGUUCUGAUGAGACCACAUCUGGAGCAUUAAGUGUGGUCUCCCUACCUAUGGACUUCCGAUGGAGGAAGUGUAAUGAGAGAGUACGCUGGAUGGAUUCCAGGGACUGCAUGUUCAUUAUAAGCAGAGGAAGUAACCAGACAAGACCCAUACUGUCUUGAGAUUGGACUAUGUCAUUGAAAUAUAUAAAACAAAGAUGACAUUCCUCCAGGAUGGGAUGUCUGGAUAAAAUAGUCACAGUCCCAUGAUAAAAGCCAAACCAUUCAGGAUGAGAUGAGCACAAAUUUCUUCAAACAGAAGGUAGCAAAUCUUUAGAAUUCUCUACCCAUGAGGGCUCUGGAGGCACAGAGUAUAUCCCCAUAUAUAUGACAUUACAGGGAUUCGAUGCCAGUGAUAUUAAACCUGAUUCUGAUUUUGAUGGUGGUAGUGCUACAAAACAGCGCUGAAGCUGAGCAGCCAGGAUCUAAUGGAGUGGGAAGAUAACUUGAGGAGCUAAAUAGCCUUCUGUCAUCUGCAUUUUUUAUAUUCUUAUAUCCCAGCAAAAGAAGUGUCACACAGAAGUCUAAAUGUUCCUAUUCUUCUCGCAAUUAUUGGUGAUGGACUGGUGAACUGUUGUCACAUGUACUGAGAUACAGUGAAAAGCUUUGUUCAUACAGAUCAAAUCAUUCCAAGGUGCAUUGGGGUAGAGCAAGGUAAAACAAUAACAAUGCAGAAUAGGAUGCAAAAGCUACAGAGAAGAUGCAGUACAGAUUACCAAGCAGAUUGAGGUAGAUUUUGAGGUCAAGAGGCCAACCAAAACAUAAAGCAAUAGCAGUUCAAAAAUCAGUCCCACCACAGACUUGAACAAGAGAAACUCUGCAGAUGCUGGAAAUCCAAGCAACACCCACAAAAUGCUGGAGGAAAAGAUGGAAAUGGAAGAUGUGUUAAAUAGCAGAGAAAAGGGAGGGGCAGAGAGGGCAAAAAGGGAUUCCAUGGUAGGGUGGAGACUAAAAGACAUUGGGUGACACAAAUUGUGGGUGCUGUCGGCUGAAAUUGGGAAGGAAGGAGAUAUUAAUAGGAGGAGCUAGAUGAAUCCUGAUGAUAGAAUAUCAAUCCAAAAUUCUGUUUUGUUUUCCACAGUUCAAAGUUCAAAGUAAAUUUAUUAUCAAAGUACAUCUAUGUCACCAUAUACUACCCCGUGAUUUAUUUUCAAUCAGCAUUCACAGUAGAACAAAGAAAUAUAAUAGAAUCAAUGAAAAACUACAGACAAAGACUGACAACCAAUGUGCAAAAGAAAUCAAACUGUGCAAAUACAGAAAAUAAUAGUAAUAAAUAAUACUGAGAACACGA